UAUUUCCUUAUGGUUUUACAGAAAUAUCUAAAUUUAGAAAACUAGAAAUCCAUUUAUUUGCCUCUUUUCCUUAAAAACUGCUACUGUAAUCCCCCCUCAACUAGUCAGCAGUGGUCCCCUCUAAAACCUCCUUUAAGCCAUCUCAGCC